rnacentral:misc_RNA from 1 species
AGCGUCUUCGAUAUAAUGAACAUAACUCCGUACAUAAGGAAGUAUGGGAAGCAUCCAGUCACUGGAGCUCCGCUCAAGCUGGAGGAUCUUAUCCCUCUCACUUUUCACAAGAAUUCUGAAGGCGAGUAUCAUUGCCCUGUGCUAAACAAAGUUUUUACUGAAUUUACGCAUAUAGUUGCUGUGAAGACUACAGGAAAUGUUUUCUGCUAUGAGGCAAUUAAAGAAUUAAACAUCAAGACCAAAAACUGGAAGGAGCUUCUUACUGAUGAGCCAUUCACUAAGGAAGACUUGAUAACAAUUCAGAAUCCGAAUGCACUUGACAGUAAGGUCACUCUGGAUUUUGACCAUGUUAAGAACGGUCUGAAAGUUGAUGAUGAAGAGCUAAAGAAAAUGAGUUCAGAUGCAAUGUAUAACAUAAAUGCUACUGGAGAUAUGAAGCAGAUGCUGGAGGAGCUUGGAACUGAGAAAGCAAAACAAACUGCACUUCAUGGUGGAGGUGGCAGUAAGGCACAAAAUGAAAGAGCUGCUGCCCUUGCUGCCAUUUUGGCUGCAAGAUCGCGUAUUAAAGAGGAUUCCAAAUCAGAUUCAAAUGGAGAGUCUAAGCCCCGACAAGCAUAUAGUAUCGUAGAUGCUGCAUCUGCUGCAGUACAUGGGAGAAGUGCUGCUGCAGCUAAAGCUGCAUCAGGUGAUAAAACUGCUGCUCGGAUAGCCAUGCACAUGGCUGGUGAGAGGGCACCUGUGAAUGCAAAGAUGGUAAAGAGUCGUUACACCACUGGCGCUGCUUCACGAUCAUUCACUUCUACCUCUUUUGAUCCUGUCACCAAAAAUGACUUUGAAUAUAUCAAAGUUGAGAAAAAUCCAAAGAAGAAAGGUUAUGUUCAGCUGCAUACAACACAUGGUGAUUUGAACAUUGAGCUGCACUGUGAUAUAACUCCAAGGACAUGCGAGAACUUCAUCACUCUUUGUGAGCAAGGCUACUAUAAUGGAGUUGCUUUUCAUAGAAGCAUUCGGAAUUUUAUGAUUCAAGGUGGUGAUCCUACUGGUACUGGGAGAGGAGGAGAAUCUAUAUGGGGGAAGCCUUUCAAAGAUGAGCUGAACUCCAAGUUGCUCCACUCUGGAAGAGGGGUUGUCAGUAUGGCAAACAGUGGGCCCCACACCAAUGGUUCUCAGUUUUUCAUCCUUUACAAGUCUGCAAAUCAUUUGAACUUUAAACAUACAGUUUUUGGUGGGGUUGUUGGUGGCUUGACUACAUUGGCGGCAAUGGAAAAAGUUCCUGUUGACGACAAUGACAGGCCUCUGGAGGAGAUCAAGAUUAUUUCUGUAACGAUAUUUGUCAAUCCCUACAUGGAGCCUGACGAAGAAGAUGAGCAAGAGGAGGCCAAAGAUGAGAAGCCACCUGAGGAUGAAGAAAAUGAAAAGGUUGGUUCAUGGUAUAGCAAUCCUGGCACAGGAACUACAGAAUCUAGAACUGUGGGCAGUGGCGGCGGCAUUGGGAAGUACUUGAAAGCAAGGAAUUCUCAACCUGAAUCAGUUACCAUGGAUUCUGGUUUGUCAACAAUUGCUGUGGCAAAGAAAAGGAAAGUGGGAGUUUCAACAGGAGAAUUCAAAGACUUCUCUGCAUGGUGAAAAUUCCCAUAUCUUGUUCAAAUCUUGAGAUGGUGAGGAAAAUGGAGCUGGUGUACGUCAGCUGUGUAACAUAUUCUUUUUGAGGUGGUGAAAAUUAAACGGAUACUGUUGAGGAGGCAUUCCAUUCCAUUGAAUUGUUGUUUUGCAGGUCAUAUGUACAAUAAGAUAUAUCAGUCACAGAAAUUUAGUUCCGAUAACAUGCUGUUCUUAUCCAGUCCAAAGGGUGCCUUCUCACCCUCUCUCUCUCUCUCUCACGCCCACUCAUAUUUUGUGCAGCAGGAGCAAAGUAUGAGUGAACAUGUAAAAGACUGCAGUAGAAAGGCA